CACGAAACUACCAUCCCAUUCCUUCAGACAUGAUAGAAUGUCCGGUGAUGAAUUUGAUCCGAGCUCUGUGUGUUCUGUCUAUAGUGGUGAAAUACUUCUCAUAAGGAGUCAUAUAUAUGGUUGGAGGUACUGGUGUAUAUCAUCCACAUAUCCUUGUCAAAUGUCACAGGACCAACAUUGAUUGCUAACAUUUGAUACUCAGGUGAAAGCCUCUCUCUCCCAUCUUGGUUUCAGCAAAAGACUUCCCAGCCGUCCGAUCCCAUAUAGUGCAUCGUUCUCUAUCCAUUCUAGCUUCCAAGCCGCUCCUCAGCAUCUGAGAAACACUCAAUGCAUUUCCCACGAGCCCUGGAGCGUAAAGAACAUUCUUGAUCGUCUUCUUACCUUCUUGAGUCAUGAUAGUCACAUCUCCAGUUCCUUCUGCCAUGGUAGUAGAUCCAUUUGUGAAUCUAAUCCUAGCUUUCCGCGAUCUGUCUAAAGUGGUGAAAAACUUCUCAUGUGAAGUUAUAUGAUUCGAGUACUUCGUUUAGCAUAUCCCAAAGAUCUUUAGCCGAAGUAGCCGAGAGAGUCUUUCUAAACACAGAAUCUGUGAGACUAGACUGCAAUAUUUGGAGUGCUUUCAUGUCUUCUCUCGCAAGCUCUCUCCAUUUGCAAAGCUCUUCUGCUUGAAUCGUCGCGGCUAACUUUGGAAUCUUCGAUGGAUCCGGCGGGACUCCGUUCGCGACCACAUCCCAAAGUCCUUCCUCCGUUAGGAUGGUUUUCAACAUCGCCGACCAGACUUCCAUGUUAAGGUCAUCGGAAAUUAUGUCUUGUAGAUUAGGUUUUGUCGUCGCCGACCAAUCGCCUUUCAUUAUCAUUUUAGUAUCUCUGACAAAGCGAAUAAACUAUUUCCCUCAAACCCAAAAAGUAUCUAUUUUUUUUUUUAUUGUAAAAAA